UGGCUCAGAGGUUAAAGCAUCUGCCUGCAGUGCAGGAGACCCGGGUUCGAUCCCUGG
rnacentral:tRNA from 1 species